UACGGAGGGUGCAAGCGUUAUCCGGAUUUACUGGGCGUAAAGCGCGCGUAGGCGGUCUGUUAAGUGCACAAGUGAAAGCUCCGGGCUCAACUCGGAAAUUGCUUUGCAUACUGGCAGGCUGGAGGGACGCAGAGGUCUGUGGAAUUCCUGGUGUAACGGUGAAAUGUGUUGAUAUCAGGAGGAACACCCAUGGCGAAGGCAGCAGACUGGGCGUUUCCUGACGCUGAGGCGCGAAAGCGUGGGUAGCAAACAGG
rnacentral:rRNA from 1 species